AUGCGGUUUAAUAUUUAUUUUACCUACCAAUCAUAUGAGAGGAACGCAGCUUUAACUAACGUUACAAGCCUAUCAGAAGCAGAGAAGGGCGGGUCCUUGCAACACAGUAUGAUCAGAGCCCGUCUACGGAGAGCCUUCCCACUCCCUAUUAAGUCCUAUUGUACCGAAUUUUGGUUGCAGUUCCACCAGAGUUCCACUGGGGGCGAUCGCCAUGAGUGCAAAAUGAAUGGGAGUCUAUGGGGCUAUACGGCUAAAUUUGUCCCUUUCACCCGAUUGCUGUUGAGAAAUCUCAGAUCUGAUUGUAGGUUUUGCAAGUUCAGCAUGGGUUACAGGUCGAAAGUUGAAUGAACAAGUACUUAUGUCCUUUCGAUUUCUUACAGGUUGAGUUGUUGUUGCCCAUAACACGCUAGCAUUCUGCUAAUGAACUAUAACGUAUGACCUCACUGACAUUUUAAAAGACUUUUUAAAGCAAAUAAGUAACUCUAAAAAAUCUAACACCCAGGAAUGUGUAAUUUCUUUGCAUCUCCUUUCGAAUACAACAUUCAAAUUACUAAACAAAAAAUUAUAUCCUGAGAAAAGUGGAUUUUGAGGGGUAUACCGCCAUUGACCUCCAUUCAUUCUGCACUCGUCCUGUGAGUGCCCUCAGAUGGAAUCAGAGUGGAACUGCAACCAGUUCAGAAGCCGGAAGUGUAGUGAGAGUGAAACUUCUCGCCAUAUUAGACAUUCUCUGGUAUGACUGACACCCAUACGUCAACGUCACGUUAGCGUUGUCGGAGAAAAAAAAUGGAGCGCAAGUUUAUGAAGCCUGGGGAUGAUGUCCUAGCAAUAGAUAAAGGACUCAAAAAUAAAUGGCGCUGGGCGUGGAUUGAAGAAAAGUUGAGAUGGCAAGUCCUUUUGGCAGUUAGUGCAAGAACUGAGAGAGCCCAGGGGCCAUAUUAGACAUUCUCGUGGUAUGACUGACACCCAUACGUCAACGUCACGUUAGCGUUGUCGGGAGAAAAAAAUAGGAGCGCAAGUUUAUGAAGCCUGGGGAUGAUGUCCUAGCAAUAGAUAAAGGACUCAAAAAUAAAUGGCGCUGGGCGUGGAUUGAAGAAAGUUGAGAUGGCAAGCCUUUUGGCAGUUAGUGCAAGAAACUGAGAGAGCCCAGGGCUUGUUUCUGCACGAUUUGCUCGAGGAAGCUACUGUAUGCCAGCAGCGGUAAGAAAGUGCUUGCUCGUCAUGAUUAAUGGUGCGUUCACACCAGACGUGAAUAGAGCGUCUAGCACGAGUGAUUUCAAUGUUAAGUCAAUGCAAAGACGCGAAUAGACUACCUGCGGCUCGUUUCGCGCGAAUGACGCGGCGCGAAUUGAGCGUUUCGGGCAUUUUGAAGCGCGAAGCGCGCGAGUUGAAAAAUCUGAACUUUGCAAACAUUUCUACAUUCAUUCCAGGGCUGUGCGAUAUGGACAAAAAAACCUAUCACGAUUUUUUGAUCAAUUUUGCUAUUUCGAUUUUAAUCACGAUUUUGACACACACAGACAUGCUUUACAGUCAUAAAUGCAUUCAGUAUGAAUUUGAAACAUAUUUCCAAAAGAAAACUGAGAGCUUUAUCAAAAAGUUGUAACAUGCCUCUAGAACAGAUUUAAGUCAAAAUAAUCACUAAGUAAAGAUGUCAAACAAAAUGUCUAGACAUAUGGCAAAA
rnacentral:lncRNA from 1 species